CACGCAGGCGGUCUAUUAAGUCGGAUGUGAAAGCCCGGGGCUCAACCCCGGAACUGCAUUCGAAACUGGCAGACUUGAGUACGAGAGAGGGAAGCGGAAUUCCUGGUGUAGAGGUGAAAUUCGUAGAUAUCAGGAGGAACACCAGCGGCGAAAGCGGCUUCCUGGCUCGAUACUGACGCUCAUGUGCGAAAGCGUGGGGAGCAAACA
rnacentral:rRNA from 1 species